rnacentral:rRNA from 1 species
UGCAUGAAGCAGUGUGAAAAACUCCGGUGGUGUGAGAUGGGCCCGCGUCUGAUUAGCUAGUUGGUGAGGUAACGGCCCACCAAGGCAACGAUCAGUAGCCGGCCUGAGAGGGCGGACGGCCACAUUGGGACUGAGACACGGCCCAAACUCCUGCGGGAGGCAGCAGUGGGGAAUAUUGCACAAUGGGGGAAACCCUGAUGCAGCGACGCCGCGUGAGCGAAGAAGUAUUUCGGUAUGUAAAGCUCUAUCAGCAGGGAAGAAAUUGACGGUACCUGACUAAGAAGCACCGGCUAAAUACGUGCCAGCAGCCGCGGUAAUACGUAUGGUGCAAGCGUUAUCCGGAUUUACUGGGUGUAAAGGGAGCGUAGACGGAGCAGCAAGUCUGGAGUGAAAACCCGGGGCUCAACCCCGGGACUGCUUUGGAAACUGUUGUUCUAGAGUGCUGGAGAGGUAAGUGGAAUUCCUAGUGUAGCGGUGAAAUGCGUAGAUAUUAGGAAGAACACCAGUGGCGAAGGCGGCUUACUGGACAGUAACUGACGUUGAGGCUCGAAAGCGUGGGGAGCAAACAGGAUUAGAUACCCUGGUAGUCCACGCCGUAAACGAUGACUGCUAGGUGUCGGGUGGCAAAGACAUUCGGUGCCGCCGCAAACGCA